rnacentral:rRNA from 1 species
UGGUCUGAGAGGAAUGAUCAGCCACACAUUGGACUGAGACACGGCCCAAACUCCUACGGGAGGCAGCAGUGGGGAAUAUUGGACAAUGGGCGCAAGCCUGAUCCAGCCAUGCCGCGUGAGUGAUGAAGGCCUUAGGGUUGUAAAGCUCUUUUGUCCGGGAAGAUAAUGACUGUACCGGAAGAAUAAGCCCCGGCUAACUUCGUGCCAGCAGCCGCGGUAAUACGAAGGGGGCUAGCGUUGCUCGGAAUCACUGGGCGUAAAGGGCGCGUAGGCGGACUCUUAAGUCGGGGGUGAAAGCCCAGGGCUCAACCCUGGAAUUGCCUUCGAUACUGGGAGUCUUGAGUUCGGAAGAGGUUGGUGGAACUGCGAGUGUAGAGGUGAAAUUCGUAGAUAUUCGCAAGAACACCAGUGGCGAAGGCGGCCAACUGGUCCGAUACUGACGCUGAGGCGCGAAAGCGUGGGGAGCAAACAGGAUUAGAUACCUUGGUAGUCCACGCCGUAAACGAUGAAUGCCAGCCGUUGGGGAGCUUGCUCUUCAGUGGCGCAGCUAACGCUU